rnacentral:rRNA from 1 species
UACGAAGGGGGCUAGCGUUGCUCGGAAUCACUGGGCGUAAAGCGCACGUAGGCGGAUUGUUAAGUCAGGGGUGAAAUCCUGGAGCUCAACUCCAGAACUGCCUUUGAUACUGGCGAUCUUGAGUCCGGGAGAGGUGAGUGGAACUGCGAGUGUAGAGGUGAAAUUCGUAGAUAUUCGGAAGAACACCAGUGGCGAAGGCGGCUCACUGGCCCGGUACUGACGCUGAGGUGCGAAAGCGUGGGGAGCAAACAGGG